rnacentral:sRNA from 1 species
GUAAAACAAAUGCCUGUGUGUAUUAUGUGUUCACUUGCCUGGUGCUAGGUACUGUUACCUUUAUCUCCUCUCUGUAGCAAACACCUGUGUUUUAUUUACAUGUACACAUUACUGCUGGUAUUGUUUUAUAACUUUAGUUAAUGUACAGUGUAGGCUUACACACUUUUUAACAUGACGAUUCCUUGCCAUGUUAUUAUAUUUUUUAAGUUAUGUGAAUCUGCAUUAAAAUAGUGAUCCAAAC